rnacentral:rRNA from 1 species
AACGCGAAGAACCUUACCCAGGUUUGACAUGCAGAGGAAGUGGGCAGAGAUGUCCACGCCCUUCGGGGCCUCUGCACAGGUGCUGCAUGGCUGUCGUCAGCUCGUGCCGUGAGGUGUUGGGUUAAGUCCCGCAACGAGCGCAACCCUUAUCGUUAGUUGCCAACAGGUGAAGCUGGGAACUCUAGCGAGACUGCCUGGGUUAACCAGGAGGAAGGUGAGGAUGACGUCAAGUCCGCAUGGCCCUUAUGUCUGGGGCUACACACGUGCUACAAUGGCCGGUACAGAAGGAAGCGAAACCGCGAGGUGGAGCAAAUCCUAAAAAGCCGGCCCCAGUUCAGAUUGUAGUCUGCAACUCGACUACAUGAAGACGGAAUUGCUAGUAAUGGCGAGUCAGCAACAUCGCCGUGAAUACGUUCCCGGGCCUUGUACACACCGGCUAC